rnacentral:rRNA from 1 species
UACGUAGGUGGCAAGCGUUGUCCGGAUUUACUGGGCGUAAAGGGCUCGUAGGCGGCCAACUAAGUCGGAUGUGAAAUCCCCAGGCUCAACCUGGGAACUGCAUCCGAUACUGGAUGGCUUGAAUCCGGGAGAGGGAUGCAGAAUUCCAGGUGUAGCGGUGAAAUGCGUAGAUAUCUGGAGGAAUACCGGUGGCGAAGGCGGCAUCCUGGACCGGCAUUGACGCUGAGGAGCGAAAGCUAGGGGAGCAAACGGG